AUUGAACGCUGGCGGCAGGCCUAACACAUGCAAGUCGAACGAGUGGCGGACGGGUGAGUAAUGUCUGGGAAACUGCCCGAGGGAGGGGGAUAACUACUGGAAACGGUAGCUAAUACAGCAUACCAUCGGAUGUGCCCCGAUGGGAUUAGCUAGUAGGGGGGGUAACGGCUCACCUAGGCGACGAUCCCUCGCUGGUCUGAGAGGAUGACCCGCCACACUGGAACUGAGACACGGUCCAGACUCCCACGGUAGGCAGCAGUGGGGAAUAUUGCACAAUGGGCGCAAGCCUGAUGCAGCCAUGCCGCGUGUAUGAAGAAGGCCUUCGGGUUGUAAAGUACUUUCAGCGAGGAGGCGUUACUCGCAGAAGAAGCACCGGCUAACUCCGUGCCAGCAGCCGCGGUAAUUC
rnacentral:rRNA from 1 species